rnacentral:rRNA from 1 species
AGGAUGAACGCUGGCGGUCUGCUUAACACAUGCAAGUCGAACGGAGUACCUCGGUACUUAGUGGCGGACGGGUGAGUAACGCGUGAGAAUCUGCCCUUAGGUCGGGGACAACCAUUGGAAACGAUGGCUAAUACCGGAUAAGCCGAGAGGUAAAAGAUUAAUUGCCUAGGGAAGAGCUCGCGUCUGAUUAGCUAGUUGGUGAGGUAAAGGCUCACCAAGGCAUCGAUCAGUAGCUGGUCUGAGAGGAUGAUCAGCCACACUGGGACUGAGACACGGCCCAGACUCCUACGGGAGGCAGCAGUGGGGAAUUUUCCGCAAUGGGCGAAAGCCUGACGGAGCAAGACCGCGUGAGGGAGGAAGGCUCUUGGGUUGUAAACCUCUUUUCUUGGGGAAGACAAAAUGACGGUACCCAAGGAAUCAGCAUCGGCUAACUCCGUGCCAGCAGCCGC